AACGAACGCUGGCGGCAUGCCUAACACAUGCAAGUCGAACGAGACCUUCGGGUCUAGUGGCGCACGGGUGCGUAACGCGUGGGAACCUGCCCUUAGGUUCGGAAUAACUCCCCGAAAGGGGUGCUAAUACCGGAUAAUGUCUUCGGACCAAAGAUUUAUCGCCUUUGGAUGGGCCCGCGUUGGAUUAGCUAGUUGGUAGGGUAAAAGCCUACCAAGGCGACGAUCCAUAGCUGGUCUGAGAGGAUGAUCAGCCACACUGGGACUGAGACACGGCCCAGACUCCUACGGGAGGCAGCAGGGGGGAAUAUUGGACAAUGGGCGAAAGCCUGAUCCAGCAAGGCCGCGUGAGUGAUGAAGGCCUUAGGGUUGUAAAGCUCUUUUACCCGGGAUGAUAAUGACAGUACCGGGAGAAUAAGCGCCGGCUAACUCCGU
rnacentral:rRNA from 1 species